GACGAACGCUGGCGGCGUGCUUAACACAUGCAAGUCGAACGGAAAGGCCCUGCUUUUGUGGUGUGCUCGAGUGGCGAACGGGUGAGUAACGCGUGAGUAACCUGCCCUUGACUUUGGGAUAACUUCAGGAAACUGGGGCUACUACCGUAUAGGAGCUCCUGCUGCAUUGUGGGGGUUGGAAAGUUUCGGCGGUUGGGGAUGGACUCGCGGCUUAUCAGCUUGUUGGUGGGGUAGUGGCUUACCAAGGCUUUGACGGGUAGCCGGCCUGAGAGGGUGACCGGCCAAAAUGGGACUGAGAGACGGACCAGACUCCGACGGGAGGCAGCAGGGGGGAAUAUUGCACAAUGGGCGGAAGCCUGAUGCAGCAACGCCGCGUGCGGGAUGACGGCCUUCGGGUUGUAAACCGCUUUCGCCUGUGACGAAGCGUGAGUGACGGUAAUGGGUAAAGAAGCACCGGCUAACUACGUG
rnacentral:rRNA from 1 species